rnacentral:lncRNA from 1 species
UCCCCCACCCGCUCUCUCUAAUCUUUCUCUGUCGCCGCCCCUUCUUCUCCAAGAAUCGCUGGCAGCCGUACCUCCUCGCAGCCUCUCCUCCUCACCGUUUCUCUCCCUCACGUGUUCUCCUACAGCGGACGGCCUAGGAGGAGCCGCCGCUGUUGUUCUUCUUCCGGCCGUGUCCAGCGGAGCCUGGCCUUCGGCCGCACCGCCCCGUCCUUCACCCACGCCGCCGCCUCAGUGUCGCCCUGCCCCGAGUCUGCCAGGGACGAAGCCAGGAAUUCUAUCGAGGGGGGGGGGUGGCGAACUUUCUCAACAUCAAAAUUAUAAAAACUCUAUAUAUGUUUUGUAUUAAUGCAUCAAUAAUUAUUCUCCACUAAAAAAAAAUAUCCAAAGAAAAUCUACGUUGUUACCUUGUAAUAUGUAAUUCGAACAAUCCAAUCCAUUAUCAAAAUCCAAUGUACAUAGUAAAAUGUCAAUCUGCAUCGCCGCCUCACUCCGGCUCCAAUCGGAAAUCAAUUUCCAUACAGCCAGAAGAGCUACGAAUUUGAAUCAUUGCAUCGCAAUUGAAUCAUUUUAUGAUGAAUUUUAUAUGCAAUGCUAAUUUAUGGUGAAUUUGCG